rnacentral:rRNA from 1 species
UGGGGAAUUUUGGACAAUGGGCGAAAGCCUGAUCCAGCAAUGCCACGUGAGUGAAGAAGGCCUUCGGGUUGUAAAGCUCUUUUGUCAGGGAAGAAACGGUGAGAGCUAAUAUCUUUUGCUAAUGACGGUACCUGAAGAAUAAGCACCGGCUAACUACGUGCCAGCAGCCGCGGUAAUACGUAGGGUGCAAGCGUUAAUCGGAAUUACUGGGCGUAAAGCGUGCGCAGGCGGUUUUGUAAGUCUGAUGUGAAAUCCCCGGGCUCAACCUGGGAAUUGCAUUGGAGACUGCAAGGCUAGAAUCUGGCAGAGGGGGGUAGAAUUCCACGUGUAGCAGUGAAAUGCGUAGAUAUGUGGAGGAACACCGAUGGCGAAGGCAGCCCCCUGGGUCAAGAUUGACGCUCAUGCACGAAAGCGUGGGGAGCAAAACAGGAUUAGAUACCCUGGUAGUCCACGCCCUAAACGAUGUCUACUAGUUGUCGGGUCUUAAUUGACUUGGUAACGCAGCUAACGCGUGAAGUAGACCGCCUGGGGAGUACGGUCGCAAGAUUAAAAACUCAAAGGAAUUUGNCGGGGUCAUAGCUGUUUCCUG